rnacentral:rRNA from 1 species
AACCUCCGCAAUGUGAGAAAUCGCGACGGGGGGAUCCCAAGUGCCAUUCUUAACGGGAUGGCUUUUCAUUAGUGUAAAAAGCUUUUGGAAUAAGAGCUGGGCAAGACCGGUGCCAGCCGCCGCGGUAACACCAGCAGCUCUAGUGGUAGCAAUUUUUAUUGGGCCUAAAGCGUCCGUAGCCGGUUUAAUAAGUCUCUGGUGAAAUCCUGUAGCUUAACUGUGGGAAUUGCUGGAGAUACUAUUAGACUUGAGACCGGGAGAGGUUAGAGGUACUCCCAGGGUAGAGGUGAAAUUCUGUAAUCCUGGGAGGACCGCCUGUUGCGAAGGCGUCUAACUGGAACGGUUCUGACGGUGAGGGACGAAAGUUAGGGGCGCGAACCGGAUUAGAUACCCGGGUAGUCCUAACUGUAAACGAUGCGGACUUGGUGUUGGGGUGGCUUUGAGCUGCUCCAGUGCCGAAGGGAAGCUGUUAAGUCCGCCGCCUGGGAGUACGGUCGCAAGACUGAAACUUAAAGGAAUU